AGAAUUAGAAUGGGUUGAUUACCCCAUCGUGUUCUAUUGAAGUGUUGCCCAGGUUGCGUUUAAUCAAGAUAUCACCCCUGAGAGAAAUUAUCAUCGAGCAGUUCCGACUUGAUCCUACUCAGCAGGAAGCCGAUGCUUGGGGACCAAACCGCCUCCUCCACGUUCCUCUCGUAAGGCUCAGCCUCAAGAUAUAUAUACCAGGAUUAACCGUACCUCGUUGCUAUGCAUUAACUACGCUACUACCUCUGCUCGGAUCAUCCACGGUCUGAUGCAGCUUCUGACGGGUCUCCUCUACACCGUCUCAACCUACUCUUCCGAUGAUCCACACUGAAAGUAUCUACUCCUCCAGCCCGAGCAUCGUAAACCUGUAGUGCUCCAUCUGGUUCAUGUUCUCAAGGAUCUCCUCCUACCUCACCUACUGGUGCAGCCAUCUGUUAUUUAAAA